rnacentral:rRNA from 1 species
AUUGAACGCUGGCGGCAUGCCUUACACAUGCAAGUCGAACGGCAGCGCGGACUUCGGUCUGGCGGCGAGUGGCGAACGGGUGAGUAAUGUAUCGGAACGUACCAUUGAGUGGGGGAUAACGUAGCGAAAGUUACGCUAAUACCGCAUAUUCUCUCCGGAGGAAAGCAGGGGACCGCAAGGCCUUGCGCUCUUUGAGCGGCCGAUAUCAGAUUAGCUAGUUGGUGGGGUAAAAGCUCACCAAGGCGACGAUCUGUAGCGGGUCUGAGAGGAUGAUCCGCCACACUGGAACUGAGACACGGUCCAGACUCCUACGGGAGGCAGCAGUGGGGAAUUUUGGACAAUGGGGGCAACCCUGAUCCAGCCAUGCCGCGUGAGUGAAGAAGGCCUUCGGGUUGUAAAGCUCUUUCGGCCGGGAAAAAAUCGCAUGGAUUAAUACUCUGUGUGGAUGAUGGUACCGGAAUAAGAAGCACCGGCUAACUACGUGCCAGCAGCCGCGGUAA